rnacentral:ncRNA from 1 species
CAUCANCUAUUACUUAAUAUACACAUGCAAGUCUCAGNCCCUCCUGUGAAAACGCCCUUNNAACCCCUCUNAAGGGACAAGGAGCUGGUAUCAGGCACNNAAAAUUAGCCCAAGACACCUAGCUACGCCACACCUACACGGGACCUNCAGCAGUGAUUAACAUUGAAUAUAAGCGCCNAGCUUGAAUCAGUUNAAAGUAAAAAGAGCCNGGCUAAUCUGGUGCCAGCCGCCGCGGUUACACCAUGUGGCUCAAAUGGANCCUCUUGCGGCGUAAAGCGUGAUUNAAAGNUCUAACUCUUACUGCAAUCAAACUAGAAUUAAGCCGUGACACGCUUAUNUCCGAGGAAGCUCAGCAAACGAAAGUAAUUGCANCCUUAAAUAACUUGAACUCACGACAGCUGGGNAAACAAACUGGGAUUAGAUACCCCACUAUGCCUGGCCGUAAACUUUAAUUUACACAGCCUUNNNNNNCGCCAGGGAACUACGAGCAAAGCUUAAAACCCAAGGGACUUGACGGUACCCCAAAUCCACCUAGAGGAGCCUGUCCUAUAAUCGAUAACCCCCGUUCUACCUCACCACUCCUAGCCUAUCAGCCUGUAUACCUCCGUCGUCAGCUUACCCCGUGAGCGCCAANUUAGUGAGCUUAACGCCUNNNNNNNNCUCCACCAACACGUCAGGUCAAGGUGCAGCAUAUGAAGUGGAAAGAGAUGGGCUACACUGUCUAUUCUAGACUAAACGAAAGACCACUUAUGAAANACUGGUCAGAAGGCGGAUUUAGAAGUAAAAGAAGGUCAUAAUACUUCCUUUAACUANGGCACUGGGGUGUGUACACACCGCCCGUCANCCCUCUUNCAAAGCCUUAAUAUAAGUCCUUNAACACNUAUUAGGCACCCUAGAAGANGGCANAGUCGUAACAUGGUAAGU